GCAGUGGUUGGGUCCAGAUGUGAGCAUUCUGCUCAGUUUGAUCCUGGCUGGCACAUGGAGACAGUUAUGGAUCUCUGGGGCCCAGAGGAAAUGGCUGGACAGAGAACUUCCUGGGACUGCUGCAUCGGCUGUAGACAUUCAGCUAACUGUGCAUUUUCUGGGAUUCAGAAGGGCCAUCUGCUACCCACACAGUCAAGAGGAAAGCCACACAAAAAAAGAAGGAAAAAAUGGUCUCAUGGUACAGUUAAAACCAGAGAGGGAUACCUGGGGGACAGAAUGCAGAGGUGCUCCCCUGCACCUGCUCUCUGCUCAAGGGACAGACUGAGGAGUGGCUGCUGUCCUGUACUGCACUGGGCUGCAAACCAUGCAGCAGGUAAAAACAAGUGAAAAAGGAAGCUGGCAUCAGUGACCCUUCCCUAGGGAAGGUAUGCAUACAGCAGAGAGGUGUUCCAUUUCUGUCUCAUGUAACAGAAGCUGUGUGCAGCGAGCUCAGGAGAGGAAAGCUCCAUGUCCUACCCAGAUUAGCCUCACCUACAAAUUGUAGUAGCUCACAGGCAGUUUAUAACCAUUCAGGUGAGUGUUCUGUAUCUGUAUGACUUUUAAGUUUUAUUGAAGCUCUUCAGUCCAUUCACCAGUGACCUUGAGAGAUCCUCUCAGAUGUGCUGGCAAUUGUGUAGUUGAUGCAUUUCCAUACAAGGCACUAAACCCUUACAUAUUGGAAAAGUCAUUUGGUCUGUCAGAACUUGCAUGGAAAAAUACAAAUAUUUCAUAAGGACAAGUGGGUAGAUUAUUCUCAAGGUAUUGAUUCCACAUUUUGGUUUGCUGCUAAAUAGACCUCCCUACUGGAGAGACUGAGCAACAUGGCCAUUUCAGGGAGACACUCUGGGGAUUUAUUGAUUGGACAUGCGAAUACUAAUCAUGAAAUAGCAUAGAUUGAACAUGCUUUUGUGACUACCAUUUGCAUAAAAAGGUAACACUUCAAUAUUGGGAAGGCAAGACAUUUCAGAACAUUAACAGUAGCUGUCUCAGAUCGAGUCAUAUUCCUUACCAGUUCUUCAGGCUUCUCAUUUUCCAGGAUCUAGAGAACUGGGACAAUACACAUAUAAUGCUGUCUGUAACAAGUAAGUUAUCAAAUAAAUUUGCUAUAUUGGACAGAUACUGAAAAUGAAACUCCUAUCUCCAGCAAACCUAGAGAGUAAUGGUUUCUCUCCCAAACUUACUGGAAAACUGCAUACAUUUUGGAUUUUGAAAUAGCUUUCUGUUUGCUUCUUGUAAUCAAGAAGUUAAUUCAAUUAAUUUCAAUCAAUUUUUGUAAUCAAACACUUUAAACUUGCCUUCCUCUUUACAUAUUAAUUUUGUCAGAUUGAAGUAUUAAAAAAUCAAAAAUGUGGAAGCCCUUAAAAUUUUGAGCAAGAGUACACUGUUAUAUAGUUUACUCUAUCAUAUUUGUAUAUUUUGCCCUUUGUCUUUCUGUUGUGUUAGGGAGUUUUUUGUUUGUUGGGUUUGGGUUUUUUUUUACUUUGCUUUUUUAGAGUAGCUCAUCAAAGACAGAACGUGCAUCUUCUCAGGCACUUGUUAGUCCUCUGCUUUGUCAGUGGACCCCCAGGCAUCUCCACUGGCAGCCCCAACAAAAGGAUUGCAAGCUAUCUGCAGAGGACAGGCAGUUAUAUAGGCCUAAAUGGGCUUGGAGGAGUUAUGUCUGUGUGUUUUAUCUGGCUUGGGGCAUUUCUCCCUUGUUGGCCACGCCAGCCACCCUGUGAAUUUCAGAGGUCAAGGUGAAGAAAAUAGGCACCUAGUUUGAAACCUGGACCCCAACAAAGCAAUCACUACCUUUUCAGAAGUAUCUAGAUGUAAAGGUUGAGACAAAUAAUAUUUUAGGUUUGUUUGUGCUAGUGAUGUAGGCUAGACCCAAUGAAAGGUCUAAUCUAUGCUUCCAUGCACAAGUGGAUGCAAACUGCACUAAUUCAGUGCAGAACACAGAAUCACUGGAGUUUUCUGUGCUGCUGUACAUUUGGGUAUGUCAAAAGCAACCAGUAUGAAGACACUGCACUUUAAGUAACUCCUAAAGUAUAGUAGAAUUUUGUUUAUUACGGUAGAAAUCAGAAUGGCCCAGACUUAGCUCUUCUACUUUAGGUGCAAAUCCCUCUGAUUAUGGGCUAAUGGUAUGUUAUACCUUGUGCCUGCUGUUCUCAGUUCCCUGCAGAUGGGAUUCAACAAGGUACCUCAAGCACCAAUAACACGAAGUACUUUACUAAAUAGGGUCCUGAAAGACAUCAGACCCUUAAAAGCCAGUUUGGCCUGCUGAGAGAUGAGCAACUUCAUUCCACAUCUGAUGAGAGGAUCCAAAUUGUCAGUUCAGUGGGAGAAUCUUUCUAUUGUAGGGAUGAAAAGCUCAGGGGAUCUCACUUAUGCUCAGUGGUCUUGUAAUUAAAUGUUACACACUUGAUGAGCAUUACAUUGCAAGCCUCAAGGCUAAUUUACAUGUUACCACCAAAAUGUCUUAUUUUAUUUUGCUUGUAAAAAUAUUGUGUAGGCAUCAUUGCAUGUCAUUGCAAAUGGUUUGUUAUCAAUGAUGCUUGGGUGACUCAAAAUUACUAAAAGCUGUACAUAAUUACUGCUAAAAAGCCCCAUAUAGAACCAAUAGUACUUCCUCUGCAGUAGAUAUUUUAUGACUAAGAAGGCUUUCCUGAUGUGACUGACAAUGUUAGGAUCACAAACAAGUAGCCUGCCAGCAAAUAAAGAAUAGCAUUUUGGGGAAUCAAAGUAGUUUGAUUCAAUUAUAGUACUACAUGUAUCAUUAAAGUGUAUGUUGCUUUUCUGGGAGUUGUCCAUUAAUUCAAAACAGGAAGGCAGGGUGGGAGGAAAGAGAGAAAAAUGAAAAUAGGUGGGAGCUUCUUGUAAGCAUGGUGAUAAGUAUGAUGUCAAUAUGAGAUAUUUACUGGCAUUUUUUAAUGCUUUAUGUCAUAAAAGUUGCUUUUACUGAUUUGGGCCACAUGACUCAUGUCACUCUUUACACAAGAUAAGGGAAAGGAGACGAAGCUUCUCAAGACUCUGGGAUCCAUUUAGCACAUACUCCUGUAUCAGCUUCUUGGUCAGAGGAGGUCAUUCCACAAGAAGCAUUUCAAUGCACACGUAUCAGAUGGACUGAACGGCCGUUUCUUACAAUUCUCUAUUUCUUUUAUACUUGACUGACUUCAAAGCAAUGCUAAAGCACUGCAAUCAUUUAUUGGAAUGUAUUAAUAAUAAUAAAUUACAGUUUCAUUCACUGAAUUCCAGUUCUUAGAAGAAUAAACAACCUUGUGCAGAUGCAGAAGAAAGGCAGAGAAAUAUUAGAUGACUUACCCACAGUCUGCAGCAGGUGAGUGAAAGAAUUAGAUACAGAAUCUCUGGCCUCUGGCCUUUCUUUCAAAUAAUCUUUCCUGUGUUUGUGCCACAGUAAAAUGAUUUUGCAUAUGUCCUGUCUCAGAAAUAUGAAAAAUAUAUGCAAUAUGCAAAGCAGCCAAUUGGGCUGCCUUUUGGAAUAUAUCAUCAUUUAUGAACGGUGCAUCUUGAAGCCUAAACAGAUUGUGUGCAAUUAAUUGCAAACUGUCAAAGAGACUACAGCACUUUACUGCCAAUUUGUAAAUAAAACCUACUAUGCAAAAGGACGGAGGCAAGUGAGGUGAGUUUCUCUGGAUAAAGGAAAGGCAAUGCACAAAUGCAGUGCAACACAAUUUUUACACUCCAGCCUUUAAGAAUUUUGCUGACCCUGUAAAAAAUGGUGUGGUGCAGAGUCAUUGAAUGCAGGUAAGCUUCUCCAUAGGUAAACAUUUUACAUAACCUAAAUGAAGAACUCCCAGCUUACUUGAUAAAAGAAUAAAGAAGUCACCAUGUGCAAAAAGAGAAACGUUCUUUUUAGUAAAAUCUUGGAAAAAUACAUGAGCAUUUUUGUACCCUAAAGAUGUGCUGAACAAUGGUGAUGAUGACGUGCAAACAAAGCAGAUUCCCUUUAUGUCCCAAUUAUGACCCUCAAAUGAUCUUUGUUAUAAAUAUACUCAUCCUGGUGACUGGCCGAUACCUGACUGGAUUCCUUAUCCAGUGCUGUCUAGCUCCCUUUGUAUCACUGCUGUUACCAUCCUACAGCUCAUUGUUCCCCUCAUAAUAUUCAAUAAAUACAAUAUGUUUGGUGCCACUGCUGAUCUGCUGAGCCAGUCAGUGGCCAGCCCAGUGACUCAGUCUUGGUCUCAGCUUCAGAAGAAAAGUGAUGAUGCCUGUCUUUCUAGGUUUGAACCCCCCUCCGGUGAACAGCAUCACAAAUGUGAUACAGACCCUCAGUAAUUACUGAAACAGCAGUUUGUCACAAGCUGCCUGCAGCACUGAUGGACAAUCUGCUUGUGGAUAUAGUUAGAGGAAGGAAUGUGUAAGAAAAUAUGAUAUUUGUGACAGGCUUAACUUGGAUUUUUUGUUUCAGGGGAUGAAAUGUACAUGUGGAGGCAGUGUUGAUGAACAACUAGUGCUGGAGAUUGCUCGCGUUUCACCAGAAAAGGCUCUCCAGUCCGCAGCUCUCGGAUUUUCCCUCUCGUGUCACUCAAGCAAACUGCCCUGAGCUUCCCUGCUGCCGAGAUGCUCCUGGAAAGUGGGCAGGAGACCUCCACCACCCCUGGCUAUUCCCAGCAGGACUCUGAAGUGUUCCAGCUCUGGUGAGGUACCAGUGUACGGUGAGGAGCACUGAUGUUCUCCUGGGAUACCACCAUAGAGAAAUAACUGCAGCAAGAAUUGUCCCAGUAGAAGUUCAAAGAUCUUAAGUCUGUGACAAGAAAAACAAAUCAAGCUCCUGACCUUGGCAUCAUCGCUCACUUAGGAAUUUUUUGUACCUGAAAGAAAAUCUGCUGAUAUCCCAUGCAAGUAAUAAAUCACCUCACGUCAUCAGUAAAUACAGCUGUAAAACAGACAUCUCAAGGCCCCCCUGUUCUCGUUCUUUCUGGUAACUCCGUCCAUCAAAGUCCUCAAAGCGGUCAAGGUGGCUGGGGGUGGAAGGCCCACCCAGCUUCCUGCCAGGGGGGUCACCACUAAACAUCAAGCAACUUCCAGCUCAGGAGGGAAGACUCUCCUGGAUUCAAAUCCACAAGCCAAAAAUA